rnacentral:rRNA from 1 species
GUGCGAAGGUAGCGUAAUCACUUGUCUUUUAAAUGGAGACCUGUAUGAAUGGCACGACGAGGGCUGCGCUGUCUCCUUUGUCUAGUCAAUGAAAUUGAUCUGCCCGUGCAGAAGCGGGCAUAACACCAUAAGACGAGAAGACCCUAUGGAGCUUAAAACACCAAGACAGGCCGAGUAAAGGCCCUGCGACCCCUGGCGCCACGUCACACGACCACUGUCUGAUGUUUUCGGUUGGGGCGACCGCGGAGGAAAACCAACCCUCCGCAUGGAAUGGAAUAAUAGCCUUAAAUGAGGCCUACAAGCCCAAUCAGCAGAAAAUCUGACCACCAAGACCCGGCAAUGCCGAUCGACGGACCCAGUUACCCUAGGGAUAACAGCGCAAUCCCCUUCUAGAGCUCACAUCGACAAGGGGGUUUACGACCUCGAUGUUGGAUCAGGACUUCCUAAUGGUGCAGCCGCUAUUAAGGGUUCGUUUGUUCAACGAUUAAAGUCCU